ACUUUUACAGCUGCAAAGGCCUGUAACGGAGGACGCACGUGCGUUGGAUUUAAAACACAAAAGUGGGCCCGAUCACAUCAUUGCUGCCUGCCAGACUCAAACACCCACAGGAAGGCUACUCCAUUUACUUAAGGCAACACCCACAGGAAAAAUUGGAAAAAGGCAUGUGUUUGGAGUGUUGAAGAAAAUAAGAGCACAUAGAUAAACAAUGAUGACAUGCAGACUUGACAAAGAAGCCACAGCCAAGAACUCAACUAGAAAGACAAGCACUGUGAGAUAUCUCUGAUUUGCAGCAACAUGCCUGAGUUUGGCUCAAAAGUUUGCUCUGGCCUUUAAAUACAACUGAAAGCUGGUGAUUUGGGGAGAAAAAUGUUGGUUUACACUUGAUAAACAAUACAAAUCAUUUGA